rnacentral:rRNA from 1 species
CCUACGGGUGGCAGCAGUGGGGAAUAUUGCACAAUGGGCGAAAGCCUGAUGCAGCGACGCCGCGUGAGUGAAGAAGUAUUUCGGUAUGUAAAGCUCUAUCAGCAGAGAAGAAAAUGACGGUACCUGACUAAGCAGCCCCGGCUAACUACGUGCCAGCAGCCGCGGUAAUACGUAGGGGGAAAGCGUUCUCCGGAUUUACGGGGUGAAAAGGGAGCGUAGACGGCGAAGCAAGUCUGAAGUGAAAACCCAGGGUUAAACCCUGUGACUGCUUGGGAAACUGUUGUGCUAGAGUGUCGGAGAGGGAAGUGGAAUUCCUGGGGUGGCGGUGAAAUGCGUAGAUAUUAGGAGGAACACAAGUGGCGAAGGCGGCUUACUGGACGAUAACUGCGGUUGGGGCUCGAAGGGGGGGGGAGAAAACAGGAUUAGAUACCCUUGUAGUC